rnacentral:rRNA from 1 species
AUUGAACGCUGGCGGCAUGCCUUACACAUGCAAGUCGAACGGUAACAGGUCUUCGGAUGCUGACGAGUGGCGAACGGGUGAGUAAAACAUCGGAACGUGCCUAGUAGUGGGGGAUAACUACUCGAAAGAGUGGCUAAUACCGCAUGAGAUCUACGGAUGAAAGCAGGGGAUCGCAAGACCUUGUGCUACUAGAGCGGCCGAUGGCAGAUUAGGUAGUUGGUGGGAUAAAAGCUUGCCAAGCCGACGAUCUGUAGCUGGUCUGAGAGGACGAUCAGCCACACUGGGACUGAGACACGGCCCAGACUCCUACGGGAGGCAGCAGUGGGGAAUUUUGGACAAUGGGCGCAAGCCUGAUCCAGCAAUGCCGCGUGCAGGAUGAAGGCCUUCGGGUUGUAAACUGCUUUUGUACGGAACGAAAAGCCCCGGGUUAAUACCCUGGGGUCAUGACGGUACCGUAAGAAUAAGCACCGGCUAACUACGUGCCAGCAGCCGCAGUAA